rnacentral:rRNA from 1 species
GAUGAACGCUGGCGGCGUGCCUAAUACAUGCAAGUCGAACGCAUAGCGAAAGGUGCUUGCACCUUUCAAGUGAGUGGCGAACGGGUGAGUAACACGUGGACAACCUGCCUCAAGGCUGGGGAUAACAUUUGGAAACAGAUGCUACUACCGAAUAAAACUUAGUGUCGCAUGACACAAAGUUAAAAGGCGCUUCGGCGUCACCUAGAGAUGGAUCCGCGGUGCAUUAGUUAGUUGGUGGGGUAAAGGCCUACCAAGACAAUGAUGCAUAGCCGAGUUGAGAGACUGAUCGGCCACAUUGGGACUGAGACACGGCCCAAACUCCUACGGGAGGCUGCAGUAGGGAAUCUUCCACAAUGGGCGAAAGCCUGAUGGAGCAACGCCGCGUGUGUGAUGAAGGCUUUCGGGUCGUAAAGCACUGUUGUAUGGGAAGAACAGCUAGAAUAGGAAAUGAUUUUAGUUUGACGGUACCAUACCAGAAAGGGACGGCUAAAUACGUG